UACGUAGGGGGCUAGCGUUGUCCGGAAUCAUUGGGCGUAAAGAGCGUGUAGGCGGCCCGGUAAGUCCGCUGUGAAAGUCGGGGGCUCAACCCUCGAAUGCCGGUGGAUACUGUCGGGCUAGAGUCCGGAAGAGGCGAGUGGAAUUCCCGGUGUAGCGGUGAAAUGCGCAGAUAUCGGGAGGAACACCAAUGGCGAAGGCAGCUCGCUGGGACGGUACUGACGCUGAGACGCGAAAGCGUGGGGAGCAAACAGG
rnacentral:rRNA from 1 species